rnacentral:rRNA from 1 species
ACCAGACUCCUACGGGAGGCAGCAGUAGGGAAUCUUUCACAAUGGGCGAAAGCCUGAUGGAGCAACGCCGCGUGCAGGAUGAAGGCCUUCGGGUUGUAAACUGCUUUUAUAAGCGAGAAAUAUGAUGGUAACUUAUGAAUAAGGAUCGGCUAACUACGUGCCAGCAGCCGCGGUAAUACGUAGGGGGCAAGCGUUAUCCGGAAUUACUGGGUGUAAAGGGAGCGUAGACGGUAAUGCAAGUCUGGAGUGAAAGGCGGGGGCCCAACCCCCGGACUGCUCUGGAAACUGUGUAACUGGAGUGCAGGAGAGGCAGGCGGAAUUCCUAGUGUAGCGGUGAAAUGCGUAGAUAUUAGGAGGAACACCAGUGGCGAAGGCGGCCUGCUGGACUGUAACUGACGUUGAGGCUCGAAAGCGUGGGGAGCAAACAGGAUUAGAUACCCCUGUAGCG